rnacentral:rRNA from 1 species
AUUGAACGCUGGCGUGCAGCCUAACACAUGCAAGUCGAGCGCGAAAGCCCUUCGGGGUGAGUAGAGCGGCGGACGGGUGAGUAACGCGUAGGAAUCUACCUGGUAGUGGGGGACAACAUGGGGAAACUCAUGCUAAUACCGCAUACGCCCUACGUGGGGAAAGCGGGGGACCUUCGGGCCUCGUGCUAUCAGAUGAGCCUGCGUUGGAUUAGCUUGUUGGUGAGGUAAAGGCUCACCAAGGCGACGAUCCAUAGCUGGUCUAGAGAGGAUGAUCAGCCACACCGGGACUGAGACACGGCCCGGACUCCUACGGGAGGGCAGCAGUGGGGAAUAUUGCGCAAUGGGCGAAA